CUUUUCCGUUUUCCCUUUUCUUUUUCUUCUCUUCAUCGCCGAGCUUGUGCCCUAAUCCUCCCGAUCGUCGUCCCUUCUUCUCCCCUCUUCUCUUCUUCUCCACUACGGCUCCUCCACCCGACGGCGCCGCCGCGACCCUUCUUCUCCCACGCAAAUAAAAUCCAUCAACCCAGGGAAAAGCCAAGCCUAUUCCUCUCCCCUUCUCCCGAGCUCUACCCUAGCCUCUCCACAGUCCGCCACCAUUGAACGGAGCAGUGUUGACCACCAGAUCUCUCCGGCGUGCCCCGUCGUGCCCUAGAUUGGGUCCAUUGUCGCCAAGCCCUAAGCCACCAACACCAUCUCUUUAUCUUCCUCUGAUCACAGCCGACACUAACUCCCUACCUCUCACGAUCUCUCUCCCUCGCGCACGAAGUCGUCCCCUCUCAGCCGAUCGCCGGUCGCCAGCGUCUGCCACCUACUGACGGCAACCUCCCCCUUCUCUGGAGGCCAGAUCGGUGACGCAGCCGAGCACCCACGUAUGUUGGUCGUGCCCUAGACCUCACCACCGGUCUUCCUUUUUUCCAUUAGUUGCCAGUAGAGAGGAAACCAGGGCUAUCGAAUUAGCAACUUCUCCAAAUUUCAGUAGUGGUCUCUUCAGGAUUGGAUCAGUGGCUGAGGCAUCAAUUUCGGGUUGAAGCUGUCAGGAUGUUCCCGUCGCUAGUCCCCACCCUGAGUCGGGACGAUUUUCAACCUUUAGACUUGUAGUUUCCGUGUUAUAUUUUUAUAUAUUUGUGAUGUAUUACUGUACUUGUGGAUUUUUAUCGAGUUUUGGUCUA